rnacentral:rRNA from 1 species
UACGUAGGUGGCAAGCGUUGUCCGGAUUUACUGGCGUAAAGAGCGCGCAGGCGGUCGUCCAAGUCGCGUGUGAAAGCCCCCGGCUCAACUGGGGAGGGUCACGCGAUACUGGUCGACUCGAAGGCAGGAGAGGGUAGUGGAAUUCCCGGUGUAGUGGUGAAAUGCGUAGAUAUCGGGAGGAACACCAGUGGCGAAGGCGACUACCUGGCCUGUUCUUGACGCUGAGGCGCGAAAGCUAGGGGAGCAAACGGG